ensembl:lncRNA
UUUUUUUUUUCCACAUGUUCGUUGGCCAUAUGUAUGCCUUCUUUUGAGAAGUGCCUGUUCAUGUCCUUUGUCCACUUUUUAAGGGGUUGUUUUUUUCUUGUAAAUUGGUUUAUUAGACCUUUGUCAGAUGGAUAGAUUGAAAAAUGUUCUCCCAUUUUGUAGGUUGUCUGUUCACCCUGAUGAUAGUUUAUUUUGUUGUGCAAAAGCUCUUUAGUUUAAUUAGAUCACAUUUGUCAAUUUUUGCUUUUGUUGCAAUUGCUUUCUGUCAUGAAAUCUUUGCCCAUGUCUAUGUCCUGACUCAUAUUGCCUAGAUUUUCUUCUGCAAAAAUGUUUUCCCAUUCUGUAGGUUGUCUGUUCAUCCUGAUGAUAGUUUAUUUUGUUGUGCAAAAGCUCUUUAAUUAGACCGCAUUUGUCAAUUUUUGCUUUUGUUGCAAUGCUUUUGGUAUUUUUGUCAUGAAAUCUUUCCCCAUGACUAGGUCCUGAUUGGUAUUGCCUAGAUUUUCUUCUAGGAUUUUUAUAGUUUUGGGUUUUAAAUCAUUAAUCCACCUUGAGUUAAUUUUUGCAUAAGGUGUAAGUAAGGAGUCCAGUUUCAAUUUUCUGCAUAUGACUAGUCAGUUCUCCCAGCACAAUUUAUUAAAUAGGGAAUCUUUUCUCCAUUGCUUGUUUUUGUCAGAUUUGUUGAAGAUCAGAUGGUUGUAGGUGUGUGGUCUUACUUCUGAGUUCUCUAUUCUGUUCCAUUGGUCUAUGUGUCUGUUUUUUUCACCAGUACCAUGCUGUUUUGGUUACUGUAGCCUUGUAGUAUAGUUUGAAGUUGGGUAGCAUGCUGCCUCCAGCUUUGUUCUUUUUGCUUAGGAUUGUCUUGGCUAUUCAGGCUCUUUCUUGGCAGAACCAUGAGAUCUUUAAGCCACCCAGUUUAUGGCAGUUUGUUACAGCCACCCUAGGAUAUAUACAUACAUAAUGUAUGCAUAAAUGUAUGUAACACAUUUUAAUCUAUUUAAACAUUAAAAAUAAUGAAACACAAGGCUUUUAUGUGCCCUUGCCUCUUUGCCUGUACCUACAACACAUGCAUAACACACACACACACACACACACACACACACACACACUUUACCUAUUAACUAACUAGUGCAUUCAUUUUGUCAGAUUUUCUUUUUAACUUUAAUUCAGUCAUCAUACAUGGUUUCAGUGCAUAGAGAGGACCUCUGAAUGUGCCACUGAAGUCUGGCAGGCUACGGUGGCAGCAGUCCUCUCUAGCUGACUUGGCAGUGUGUGAGCAGCUCUCUCACAAUGCCAGACAGGGGGUAGGGAAGAAUGAAUCACCAGAUGGCUGAAAAGAGACACUUCCAUUCGUGUGACCCCACUGAUGUGUGCCAUGCAGAGAGAUUGCUGAGAAUGGAGACAGGCUCAUGCUUACUGGAAACAGUACUCAGUGCCCCUGGGUCCUCAGGUACAACAACAAAGAAAAGGUGUUUGAAAGGUGCCCCACAUCCUGCUUGACUGCAGAGCUUAUGGACCAGGCUGGCGAAUUCCCACUUGCCAUGACUCUGUAAGUGAAGAGCUGCCCUACAAAGUGAGAGAAUUAACCUUCAAAGAGCAGGCUGGGUGGUUUCCUUCUGUCUCUCAUGCUUGACAUUCCCUGGCUGCCCCAGGAACCUUAUGCAAUCCCCUGCGUUUCCCUGCCAGGCCCAUA